rnacentral:rRNA from 1 species
AGAGUUUGAUCCUGGCUCAGAUUGAACACUGCGGCAGGCCUAACACAUCCAAGUCGAGCGGAUGAGUGGAGCUUGCUCCAUGAUUCAGCGGCGGACGGGUGAGUAAUGCCUAGGAAUCUGCCUGGUAGUGGGGGACAACGUUUCGAAAGGAACGCUAAUGCCGCAUACGUCCUACGGGAGAAAGUGGGGGAUCUUCGGACCUCACGCUAUCAGAUGAGCCUAGGUCGGAUUAGCUAGUUGGUGAGGUAAAGGCUCACCAAGGCGACGAUCCGUAACUGGUCUGAGAGGAUGAUCAGUCACCCUGGAACUGAGACACGGUCCAGACUCCUACGGGAGGCAGCAGUGGGGAAUAUUGGACAAUGGGCGAAAGCCUGUUCCUUACAUGCCGCGUGUGUGAAGAAGGUCUUCGGAUUGCUCUUUAAGUUGGGAGGAAGGGCAGUAAGUUAAUACCUUGCUGUUUGACGUACCGACAGAAAA